AAUUGCCCAACUGCCCAGCUCUUUCCCGUUUCUGCCUACCAAGUAACCAAGUACAUCGUUCCUUUUGCUGUCUCUCUCUCUUCGAUUCCUCUUUGAUUUUACUCUCUCUCUAGAUCGACGGCUUGAAUUCCAAAUCUUUUUCUUAAUCUCGAUCACGAUUUCACGAUCUGACCUUCAAUUAGAUCUGUGUAGAGGAAUUCUACUGAACCAAAACCUGAAAUUUGGGAUUUCAAUUAGUUUUUUUUUUAUGGUGAGGGUUGGCUAGGGUUUUUGAUUUGGGUCCGGUAGGAUCUAGAGUAAAUUAGGGAGAGGGCUAUUUUGGGAAAAAAAUUUGAGGGGAGUGAAUUGAUGGUAGUCGUUUUAGGACAAAAUGCAAAGGUAUUAUGUGUAUGCAUGGCUGGAAGACAGGUGAAGAGGAGAGCAAACGGGCGGGUCGGCACAUGUGGACUGUCCCAUCACGUGCGAGCAUAGCUGGUGAUGGUUCUUCUUCUUCAUCUUCUUCUUCUUCCAUUUCAGCUAAUUCGUUUAAUAAGGAUGGACGCAAGGUUAGCAUAGGAGAUUGUGCUCUUUUCAAACCACCCCAGGAUUCCCCACCUUUCAUUGGAUUAAUUCGUUCACUGAUUUCUGGCGAAGAGAACAAGUUAAAGUUAAGGGUUAAUUGGCUUUAUCGUUCCACUGAGGUAAAACUUGGCAAAGGCAUCCUGUUGGAAGCUGCGCCAAACGAAAUCUUCUUUUCCUUUCACAAGGAUGAGAUUCCUGCUGCUUCCUUACUGCAUCCGUGUAAAGUUGCAUUCCUUCCAAAAGGUGUUGAACUUCCGUCAGGAUUUUGCUCAUUUGUGUGUCGGCGGGUUUAUGAUAUUCAACGCAAGUGUUUAUGGUGGCUAACUGAUCAAGAUUUUAUUGAUGGUCGGCAGGAAGAAAUAGAUCAGCUUUUAUCUAAGACACGUAUAGAGAUGCAUACAACAGUGCAGCCUGCUGGCUGUUCUCCAAAGCGAAUAAAUGGUCCAACAUCAACAUCACCGUUAAAACCAGGUUCUGAUAGUGUACAGAACAGUGCCUCAUUUCCUUCACAAGUUAAGGGGAAGAAAAGGGAGCGGGGAGAUCAAGGCCUGGAGCCUGUUAAAAGAGAACGCUCAACAAAGAUGGAUGAUGGGGAAUUUGGUCAUACUAGAUCAGAAACUAUAUUAAGAUCUGAGAUUGCCAAAAUCACGGAGAAAGGUGGUCUUGUAGAUUUUGAGGGGGUGGAAAAGUUGGUACAGCUCAUGGUGCUUGAGAAAAAUGAGAAGAAGAUAGACUUGGUUUGCCGAUCUAUACUUGCUGGUGUGGUGGCAGCAACAGAUAAAAUUGAUUACCUCGGUAGGUUUGUGCAGCUUAAGGGUUUGCCUGUCUUUGAUGAAUGGCUCCAGGAGGUCCAUAAAGGUAAACUCGGUGAUGGUAGUUGCCCUAAGGAUGGUGAUAAAUCUAUUGAGGAAUUUCUCCUAGUUUCACUUCGUGCGCUUGAUAAGCUGCCGAUAAAUCUUCAUGCCUUGCAAAUGUGUAAUAUUGGUAAGUCUGUGAAUCAUUUGCGUUCACAUAAGAACAUGGAAAUUCAGAAGAAAGCUAGGAGCUUGGUUGACACAUGGAAGAAACGUGUUGAGGCUGAAAUGGAUGCAAAAUCUGGUUCAGGUCAGGUUGUAUCCUGGCCUUCUAGAACACGGAAUUCAGAAGUUUCCCAUGGUGGAAGCAGAAAUUCUGGUGGAUCUUCUGACGUUGCCAUUAAGAGCUCCGCAAUGCAACUUUCUGCUUCAAAAAAUGCUUCAGUCAAGCUUGUCCAGGGGGAGAUUGCUACAAAAUCUGCAUCUGCAUCUCCAGGGUGUGUAAAAUCAUCUCCUUCAGCUGCUUCAGGGAGUACAAACCUUAAAGAUGGACAACCACGAAAUGCUAGUGUUAGUGGUGCCUCUGAUCUUCCUUCAACACCAGCUAGAGACGAGAAAAGCAGCAGUUCCAGUCAGUCCCAUAAUAAUAGUCAGUCUUGUUCCAGUGACCAUGCAAAAGCCGGGGGUUUCUCUGGGAAGGAGGAUGCAAGGAGUUCAACAGCUGGUUCAAUGACUGUGAAUAAGAUCUCUGGUGGUUCUUCACGGGCUCGAAAAUUGAAGAAUGGCUUCCUUGGGCCAGCUCAAUCUGGUGGUCAGAGGGAUCAUGGGUCAAGCAGAAAUUCUUCCUCACGCAGAAAUCCAGCUUCAGAAAAAUUAUCGGAGUCUGGUGUAACUUCUGAAAAGGCACCUGUUAUGCCCAUGGUAGAGGGGAAUAGUCAUAAAUUGAUUGUUAAAAUUCCAAAUCAUGGUCGUAGUCCUGCACAAAGUGCCUGUGCAGCAUCGUUUGAUGAACCUUCAGUGAUGAACAGCAGAGCUUCUUCUCCUGUGCUUUUGGAUAAACAUGAUCAAUUUGAUUGUAACUUAAAGGAGAAGAGUGAUGGCUAUCGACCUAAUAUUCCCUCUGAUGUAAAUAAUGAAUCUUGGCAGAGCAAUGAUUUUAAAGAUGUGCUAACUGGGUCUGAUGAGGGAGAUGGAUCUCCUGCUACUGUUCCUGAGGAAGAGCGUGGAAGAACUGGGGACGAGACUGGAAAAAUGGUUGAGGUUUCUAAGGCUGCUUCCUCAUCAUCGGGAAAUGAUCUCAUAUCAGGGAAAUUGCGUGAAGGUUCGUUUAUGCAUGCUCUGAUUGAAAGUUGUGUCAAGUACUCUGAAGCCAAGGCAUCUAUGCCAGUAGGGGAUGAUGCUGGGAUGAAUCUGCUUGCUAGUGUGGCUGCCGGGGAGAUUUCGAAAUCUGGCAUGGUUUCACCAGAUGAUUCUCCUCAACGGAAUACCCCUGUUGUGGAUCACUGUGAUGUCAAUGAUUCAAGAAUAAAAUCAUCUCCUCGACAUGAUCUUGGCCAAGACCAAAGCAAGUCCAUUGAUUCUGCUGAUGAUGAGCAUGAGAAGCAGGUUCCUUCUAGUACUGUUUGGGCUAAGAAUACAGAUGGUAGAAACAGUUCCUUGUUUUGUCAAGAGAAACCUGCCAGGGACCUUGGCGGACAUUUAACAACUUCAAAUAUGGGUUUGCAGCAGACUGGAGAGUCAUGUCUAGAAAGUAAUGAAAAUUCAGAAGAUGCAAUUGGGGUUGCACAGGUUGCACCUUCUGCCAGCAUUGGAGAGAAGAACUUUGAUGGUGAAGAAGGCAAAGAGCUUGUAGAGAAGGUUAGUGGAGUGCGCUGUGGCGGCAUUCCAGGUACCAAACAGAAGAUAAGUGGGUCUUUGUUAACUGAAGAUAAGGUCUCUGAAUCAGGUUUAGAAAGUGAAACCAAAGAUAUUGAAGGAUCAUUUAACCCAUCUUAUGAGAUUGAAAGUGAGAAGAAUAAAAAGAUUUGUGAAGGGUUAAAUACUGGUGUGCAUAACAAUUCUAAGCCUGCUACUGUGAUGUAUCCUGAGUUUGUUAAAAAAACAGAUGAGGGACGGUUGGUUCCCUCUGAUUCUUUCAAGGAUAUAAAUUCAGUUACUGUUGAUGAUUUUAAGUUUGAGAAGGCUGAAGAGAUGGAUGGUCAGUCAUAUGUAAAAGACACUGAAAAGCAAAAAGCUGAAUGGGACAGUCAUGCUUCUACAAUUUGUGAGAACCGAGUUGUAGCUGUUUCCGAUUCAGCUUUUAUUGAUCACAAGGGUGAGACUGUAGAGGAAAGUUCAGAAGCUAAUGAGGUUAAUGUUGAAUGCUCUGGUGGGCCAGCUACUUCAAAGGCGUCUCCUGUAUCGCAAUUUCAAGAAGCAGAACAAUGCGUAAGAUCCAGGGGCUCUAAGUCAGAAGUAGACGAAGCAGAGGAAUCCACAUCCACCACUGCAGAUCCUUCCUUCCCUGCUGCAAGGGGUUCAGAUAUGGAUGCAAAAGUGGAAUUUGAUUUGAAUGAAGGCUUUAAUGUGGAUGAUGGGAAAUAUGGGGAGUCAAAUAACUUGGUAAGCUCAGGAUGUAAAAGUACUAUUCAGUUGAUGAGCCCAUUACCAUUUGCUGUUUCUUCUGUGUCAAGUAGCCUUCCUGCUUCAAUUACAGUGGCUGCGGCUGCAAAAGGGCCUUUUGUUCCUCCAGAGGACCUAUUGAGGAGUAAAGUAGCUCUUGGUUGGAAGGGAUCAGCGGCCACAAGUGCAUUUCGGCCAGCUGAACCAAGAAAGGUUUUGGAGAUGUCGCUGACUACAAGUAGUGUUUCACCUCUUGAUGCCACUGCCAGCAAACACACUCGGCCUCCAUUGGAUAUUGAUUUGAAUGUACCGGAUGAGAGAAUCCUUGAUGAUUUAGCUUCUAGAGCUUCUGCAUCUGAGCACACAAAUAAUAGAGACUUUGCACGUGAAUCUACUAGUUCUGCACCUGUGCGGUGCUUUGGGAGACUUGAUCUUGAUUUAAAUAGAGUUGAAGAGCCUCUUACUGAUUUUGGUAGUCUCUCAUCAAGCAAUGUUGGUAGACCAGUUGUACCACAUCAGCCUCUAAAAUCAUCAUCGAGUGGUCAUAAUGGUGAGGUGGGUUUCUGCAGGGACUUUGAUUUGAAUGAUGGGCCUGUUGUUGAUGAGGUGAGUGCUGAACCAUCACUGUUUAGCCAGCACCUUAGAUGUAGUGUGCCAUCCCAGCCAUCUGUUUCUGGCUUUCGGGGGAGUAACUCUGAGACAGGGAAUAUCUCCUCAUGGUUUCCCACUGGGAACUACUCUGCCAUAUCAAUUCCUUCUAUCUUGCCUGAUAGAGGAGAGCAGCCUUUUCCCAUAGUUGCAACUGGUGGGCCCCAAAGAAUGUUGGGUCCUACUGCUGCCACUCCAUUUAGUCCUGAUGUUUUCAGGGCCUCGGUGCUGUCAUCUUCUCCAGCUGUGAACUUUUCAUCCACCUCAUUUCAGUAUCCUGUAUUCCCUUUGGCUACCAGUUUUCCUCUGUCCUUGGCCACCUUUUCUGGUGGUUCAACAACAUAUGCGGAUUCAUCGUCUGGUGGGAGGCUAUGCUUCCCUGGAGUCAAUUCACAAUUAUUAGGACCUGCUGGCACAGUCCCGUCCCAUUACCCUAGGCCUUAUGUUGUUAAUCUAGCAGAUGGAAGCAAUGGCGUUGGUGCUGAGAGCAGUAAGAAAUGGGGAAGGCACGGCCUAGAUUUGAAUGCAGGGCCGGGUGGCCCAGACAUAGAAGGUAGAGAUGAGAUGACACCCCUUGCACCGAGACUAUUGUCUGUUGCCAGUUCACAUGCACCAGCAGAAGAGCAACCAAGGAUGUGUCAAGUGGCGGAUGGCAUUUUGAAGAGGAAGGAACCUGAGGGAGGGUGGGAUGGCUACAAGCAGUCCUCUUGGCGGUAGCAAUUGCUAGUGUUUCAACCCAAUGACCCAUGAAAGCUCUUCCCCAGUUAUUUGAGGAUGGGCAUUGGCUAAUCCCGAGAGGUCGUCAUGUAACUUGUGUGCACUGGAGGAUGGGUGGCACUAUGGUCAUUUUACCCACCCAGCGUAUCAUGAAAGUACAUUUUUUCUUGAAUUGAUAGUCAUAUAGCCUGGAGUUAUGAGACUCAGGCCUAUGGUAUUCAUUUUUCUUUUGUUUUAUCUUGUAGACACUAUGGUCAUUUUACCUACCCAGCCUAUCAUGAAAUUACAUAUCUUCUUGAAUUGAUAGUCAUAUAGCCUGGAGUUAUGAGACUCAAGCCUAUGGUCACUAUUUGUUCAUUUAGGGAAAUUGGACUGAAUUUUACUAAUUUAUUAAUGGUUUCUUAUAAUCAGCUUAGGGAUAGACAAGGUAGUAUAACUUAGUGCAAAUAGUGGAGCAUAAGUUAGCCUUGGUUGAUUAUGUUUUUCUGAUUUUUCACUUGUAUCAGUCAAUGUCACUUCCUAUUGGACAUCCUCUGGUUUACUGGUUCUCUGUGUCAUCUUUGUACUACUCGUUUAGAAGUUGAAUUUCAAGUUCCAUGUUUAUUGUAAUGGUUAUUAAUUUUUUUUAGCAAUGCUAUGUGUACAUAGUUUUGAGUAAACAAUUGAUACUCGUGAUAUGUAUUAUCAUAUGAUUGGGUGAUAUUUUAAUUGUGAUUCAAAAUCAUCAAAUUACAUUAUGACA